GGCUGUCUCCACCCGAGACUCAGUGAAAUUGAACUCGCUGUGAAGAUGCAGUGUACCCGCGGCAAGACGGAAAGACCCCGUGAACCUUUACUAUAGCUUGACACUGAACAUUGAGCCUUGAUGUGUAGGAUAGGUGGGAGGCUUUGAAGUGUGGACGCCAGUCUGCAUGGAGCCGACCUUGAAAUACCACCCUUUAAUGUUUGAUGUUCUAACGUUGACCCGUGAUCCGGGUUGCGGACAGUGUCUGGUGGGUAGUUUGACUGGGGCGGUCUCCUCCUAAAGAGUAACGGAGGAGCACGAAGGUUGGCUAAUCCUGGUCGGACAUCAGGAGGUUAGUGCAAUGGCAUAAGCCAGCUUGACUGCGAGCGUGACGGCGCGAGCAGGUGCGAAAGCAGGUCAUAGUGAUCCGGUGGUUCUGAAUGGAAGGGCCAUCGCUCAACGGAUAAAAGGUACUCCGGGGAUAACAGGCUGAUACCGCCCAAGAGUUCAUAUCGACGGCGGUGUUUGGCACCUCGAUGUCGGCUCAUCACAUCCUGGGGCUGAAGUAGGUCCCAAGGGUAUGGCUGUUCGCCAUUUAAAGUGGUACGCGAGCUGGGUUUAGAACGUCGUGAGACAGUUCGGUCCCUAUCUGCCGUGGGCGCUGGAGAACUGAGGGGGGCUGCUCCUAGUACGAGAGGACCGGAGUGGACGCAUCACUGGUGUUCGGGUUGUCAUGCCAAUGGCACUGCCCGGUAGCUAAAUGCGGAAGAGAUAAGUGCUGAAAGCAUCUAAGCACGAAACUUGCC
rnacentral:rRNA from 1 species